rnacentral:rRNA from 1 species
AGUGAACGCUGGCGGUAGGCCUAACACAUGCAAGUCGAACGGCAGCACAGUAAGAGCUUGCUCUUACGGGUGGCGAGUGGCGGACGGGUGAGGAAUACAUCGGAAUCUACUUUUUCGUGGGGGAUAACGUAGGGAAACUUACGCUAAUACCGCAUACGACCUACGGGUGAAAGCAGGGGAUCUUCGGACCUUGCGCGAUUGAAUGAGCCGAUGUCGGAUUAGCUAGUUGGCGGGGUAAAGGCCCACCAAGGCGACGAUCCGUAGCUGGUCUGAGAGGAUUAUCAGCCAGACUGGAACUGAGACACGGUCCAGACUCCUACGGGGGGCAGCAGUGGGGAAUAUUGGACAAUGGGCGUAAGCCUGAUCCAGCCAUACCGCGUGGGUGAAGAAGGCCUUCGGGUUGUAAAGCCCUUUUGUUGGGAAAGAAAAGCAGCAGGUUAAUACCCCGCUGUUCUGACGGUACCCAAAGAAUAAGCACCGGCUAACUUCGUG